GGCGAACGCUGGCGGCGUGCUUAACACAUGCAAGUCGAACGGAAAGGCCCUGCUUUUGUGGGGUGCUCGAGUGGCGAACGGGUGAGUAACACGUGAGUAACCUGCCCUUGACUUUGGGAUAACUUCAGGAAACUGGGGCUAAUACCGGAUAGGAGCUCCUGCUGCAUGGUGGGGGUUGGAAAGUUUCGGCGGUUGGGGAUGGACUCGCGGCUUAUCAGCUUGUUGGUGGGGUAGUGGCUUACCAGGGCUUUGACGGGUAGCCGGCCUGAGAGGGUGACCGGCCACAUUGGGACUGAGAUACGGCCCAGACUCCUACGGGAGGCAGCAGUGGGGAAUAUUGCACAAUGGGCGGAAGCCUGAUGCAGCAACGCCGCGUGCGGGAUGACGGCCUUCGGGUUGUAAACCGCUUUCGCCUGUGACGAAGCGUGAGUGACGGUAAUGGGUAAAGAAGCACCGGCUAACUACGUG
rnacentral:rRNA from 1 species